GACGAACGCUGGCGGCGUGCUUAACACAUGCAAGUCGAACGGAAAGGCCCUGCUUUUGUGGGGUGCUCGAGUGGCGAACGGGUGAGUAACACGUGAGUAACCUGCCCUUGACUUUGGGAUAACUUCAGGAAACUGGGGCUAAUACCGGAUAGGAGCUCCUGCUGCAUGGUGGGGGUUGGAAAGUUUCGGCGGUUGGGGAUGGACUCGCGGCUUAUCAGCUUGUUGGUGGGGUAGUGGCUUACCAAGGCUUUGACGGGUAGCCGGCCUGAGAGGGUGACCGGCCCCGUUGGGACUGAGAUACGGCCCAGACUCCUACGGGAGGCAGCAGUGGGGAAUAUUGCACAAUGGGCGGAAGCCUGAUGCAGCAACGCCGCGUGCGGGAUGACGGCCUUCGGGUUGUAAACCGCUUUCGCCUGUGACGAAGCGUGAGUGACGGUAAUGUGUAAAGAAGCACCGGCUAACUACGUG
rnacentral:rRNA from 1 species